CAAAAACAUAACAAAAUCACGACUCUCGGCAACGGAUAUCUCGGCUCUCGCCACGAUGAAGAAUGUAGCGAAAUGCGAUACUUAGUGUGAAUUGCAGAAUCCCGUGAAUCAUCAAGUCUUUGAACGCAAGUUGCGCCCGAGGCCUCGGCCAAGGGCACGUCUGCUUGGGCGUCGCACUACAAAAUUGCCCUCCCCAGCGAGGAGCGGAGAUGGCCGUCCGUGUCCCCAAGUGGCGCGGUCGGCUGAAAUGAGCACGAGGUCCGUCGAUCCGUCGCGACGAGCGGUGGCUCCCAAAAGGCCGGCGUUGGUUUGCGCUGAUCGAACGAUUCCUCGCGAGGAACUUUAUUCUGGGUCCAGCGGCCCGCCGCAGUGCGCGCAUGCUGAAUCUCUACCGCGUCCCCAAGUCAGGC
rnacentral:rRNA from 1 species